rnacentral:lncRNA from 1 species
UUCAACACUGAAAGCAGCUCCUUCAGAAUGGGAGCGGGCACAGUGAGGGAGCACUGCUGGAACUCUUCACUCAUUUCUUCCUCCAUCAUCUUACUUUGACCAGCAUUUGUUAAAAACGUACCCUACACCAGACAACAUGCUAGCUGCUGAGACAGUGAAGACAAAACCAAGGACAGAGAGGUGAGCCAACAAUUUUAUACCACAGGUCCUUCACACACCUCCCCCUCCAUCUCCAGCCUGCUGAAACACAGACACAGAAGGGAGACUGAAGAAGUCCUGUGCAAACAGAAGUUUAAAUAAAGCUAAGCAGUUCAGACAAGAGCUAAUCCAAACCA